GGGGGUGUAGCUCAGUUGGGAGAGCGCUUCCAUGGCAUGGAAGAGGUCAGGGGUUCGAAUCCCCUCACCUCCA
rnacentral:tRNA from 1 species